rnacentral:lncRNA from 1 species
AUCACCCUGGGGCAUUUAUUUUAAAAAGAGAAUUGGACCCUAUUUUAGACUUUUGAGUCAGAAUCUCUGGGGUGAUCUGACAUGCAGCCAGAUUUAUAAAAUCCUGAACUGAACCCCUAAAUUUCCAUUAACAACCCAACUUUUUUUUUUUUUUUGAGACAGAGUCUCACUGUCACCCAGGUUGGAGUGCAGUGGCAUGAUCUCAGCUCACUGCAACCUCCGCCUCCCAGGUUCAAUCGAUUCGCCUGCCUCAGCCUCCCAAACAGGAGUAGCUGGGACUACAGAUGCCCGCCACCAUGUCUGGCUAAUUUUUGUAUUUUUAGUAGAGACGGAGUUUCAUUGGCCGGGCUGGUCUCAAACUCGUGACCUUGGGAUCUGCUUGCCUCUGCCUCCCAAAGUGCUGGGAUUACAGGCGUGAGCCACCAUGCUCAGUCAACAACUAAAUUUUUUAAGUAUUUGUCCUUAACAUACAAAAAUACUACUCUAUUAUUUGUAGGAUAUGUAUUCUAAGUAGUGAUUUUUUUCCCCAGAAGUGGUAAUAAAUUCAUGUUGACUCAAUGAAGAAAUUUCCUACCAAAUCUUUUCUAAAACUGGUUGAACAGCCAGGCACGGUGGCUCAUGCCUGUAAUCCCAGCACCUCAGGAAGCCAAGGCUGGUGGAUCACUUCAGGUCAAGUUUUUGAGACCAGCCUGGGAAACAUGGUGAAACCCCGUCUCUACUAAAAAUACAAAAAAUUAGCCGGGCGCGGUGGCGGACGCCUGUAGUCCCAGCUACUCGGGAGGCUGAGGCAGAAGAAUGGCGUGAACCCGGGAAGCGG